rnacentral:rRNA from 1 species
UGGGGAAUAUUGGACAAUGGGCGAAAGCCUGAUCCAGCCAUGCCGCGUGUGUGAAGAAGGUCUUCGGAUUGUAAAGCACUUUAAGUUGGGAGGAAGGGCAGUAAGCGAAUACCUUGCUGUUUUGACGUUACCGACAGAAUAAGCACCGGCUAACUCUGUGCCAGCAGCCGCGGUAAUACAGAGGGUGCAAGCGUUAAUCGGAAUUACUGGGCGUAAAGCGCGCGUAGGUGGUUCGUUAAGUUGAAUGUGAAAGCCCCGGGCUCAACCUGGGAACUGCAGCCAAAACUGGCGAGCUAGAGUAGGGCAGAGGGUGGUGGAAUUUCCUGUGUAGCGGUGAAAUGCGUAGAUAUAGGAAGGAACACCAGUGGAGAAGGCGACCACCUGGGCUCAUACUGACACUGAGGUGCGAAAGCGUGGGGAGCAAACAGG